ACUAUUAGUUCCUCUUCUCUUUAGAAAAGGCAAAUAAAUUUGGUGCAGAAGAAUGUAAACUUGAACAGCCCUACCAGGCUUAUCCUUCAAUACGGAAAGCCUGCAGGGAAACACUCAGCUGCUGUUUUCAUUGUUCCAGUGUCUGUGGCACUUUCUUCUCUUCCAGUGGCUGAAUGUCCACUUCAGCUUCGUUUGCUUAGAUUCUGCUUUCAGGAUUUGUUUUUUUCCUGAAGUGGCACCACAGCAUAAUAUUGUUAACUUUUAAGUAACUUGCUACUCCAGAGGCAGAUUUGUAUUGCAUUGAUAUUUAAGAUUUCUUUUUGAAAGCACCUUUUCCCACAAAUUAAAUAAAAUUUCAGAACUCUUUUAUUCUUGAAAAUGUUUUAAUACAUGUAAAGCAGAACCAGUGAUAGGUUGCAAAUUUAUAUUUUAGGUUGUGGCUUUGGCAGCUUCUUUCUGAACUGUGCCAGUUAUACACUGUGUAUUUAGCCAAAACUUAGUACUCAGUUUUCUUGUGUGUAAAACUCCUAUAUUAGGAAUAUUUUGUGACUUGAAAUAAAUGAAAUAGGUAAAGUUAGCAUUACACAUAUAUAGUAAGCAUUCAGUGUUAGUCUUUUAUUCAUUUGAAUUCACGUAGUCUAGAGGCUAGCUGUUGUCUUCGGUAGCAGUGGAUAAUUUGCAGUUAUUUUACUUUCUUAGAAUAUAUAACCUGAUUCUAGGUUUUCUUCAAGUCACUAAAUCAUUUAGAUUCUUUUGAGGUUUAACCCACAGCAUGUCAUGGUGCUGGUCUUUGGUGACUUUUCCAAAGUCUUGGCACAUAUGAUUCUAAACAUUGCAGCCAUAUUACUGCCUGAUGCACACAUCAGGGGAACGUGCUUACCAUAUCUGUGAAUUAGUCUUCUGUUUCUACUAAUCUUGCCAAAGUUAAUUACCAUUUUGCUUAUGUUAUUAUUUGAAAUAAAAAGUUGCUUUUGAACAAUUGAUUUUUAGUGACAUGAGUCUUGUGUUUAUUCCUGAAGUCGGGUCAGUUUGCACAUUAGUAAGGAUAUUAGUAAAAUCAGAAGACUUGUACUAAAAAAUAAAAUAAUCUUUGAAAGUAUGAAAGAUAACUUAUGUAAGAAUUGUUCUUUCCUUCUCUGGUGAUUGAAACUGCUUUGAGUUUUUUAGAUAGGCGAGGAUAGCAUUUACCAUCUUAUAAAACUCUGAGAUAAUCACAUCACAUAGCACUGGUCAUACCCACAGUAAAGAUUUAGAGAUUUCUAAGUAGUGAAGGAGAAGGGAUGGCUGGAUGGCAUCGCUGACUCGAUGGACGUGAGUCUGAGUGAACUCUGGGAGUUGGUGAUGGACAGGGAGGCCUGGCAUGCUGUGAUUCAUGGGGUCGCAAAGAGUCGGACACGACUGAGCGACUGAACUGAACUGAAGUAGUGAAGCUAUUGGGGCUUCAUGUAGGAAAGUGUUUUUUUUGUAGAAUGUAUUUAACAAUAUAUGAAUUAAAGCCUUUUUUAUUUUUUUAAAAUCAUAUUACUUUAUGCAUUGUUAGCCAAAUAGUCUGUUGACCAUAUGUUAAAACUCCUUCUCAUUACAGGGAGAAGGGUUUGAGAGUGGAGGGAGAAAAAUUUUAGCCUCUGUGUCAUGGACAUUCUGAAUCAUUUAUCUUCAGAAACAUACCAUUCUGUAGGAGCCAUUUCCCUUCUUUACAAAUAAGCAAACUGAAGUCCACAGUCACACAGCUUUUGAUUUGUACAGGUAUUUGAACUCAGGUUUUUGCUGACCAGGCAAAGCUGUGCUUUACUUUAAAAGAUACUCUUGGACGUGUGCUGAGUCACUUUAGUUGCGUCCAACUCUUCACGAUGCUAUGGACUGUAGCCCCCCAGGCUCCUCUGUCCAUGAGAUUCUCCAGGCAAGAAUACUGGAGUGGGUUGCCAUGCCCUCCUCCGGAGGACCUUACCGACCCAGGGAUCAAACCAACGUUACAUCAGCUGCAUCGCAGGUGGAUUCUUUAGCACUAGCGCCACAGAUUUUAAUUUUAACACAUGGUCUGUAUAAUUCAUAGAGCUGCUGUAACAACAUACCAAAAAGUAAGUGACUUGGAACAACAGAAAUGAAAUCUCUUACAGUUCUAGAGGCUAAAAUCUGAAAUCUAGCUGUUGGCAGCGCCGUGCUUUCUCUGAACACUCUAGAGGAGAGCCUCUCUUGUCUCUUCCAAAUUGCGGAAGUUCUCAGCAGUCCUCGUUAUUCUCGGCUUGCAGACGCAUCACUUCAGUCUCUGCCUCUGUCGUCAAGUUGCUGUCUUCGAUCACGUGUCUUCAUAUCACCUUGCUGUUAUGUCUGUCUGUAAAUUUUCUUCUUAAAUUAGAUACUGGUUAUAUUGGAUUAGGGGCCCACCCUACUGCAGCAUGACCUCUUCUUAACUAAUGAUAUAUAUAAGGACUCUGUUUCCAAAUGAGGUCCCAUUCUGAGGUACUGGAAGUUGGAACUUAUACAUUUUUGGAGGACACAUUUCGUUAACAGCCUAUGACUGAAUUCUGUAACUAUUUAAGAUCUAAGUAAAUAGAUGUUGGUGGCUCAGACGGUAAAGUAUCUUCCUGCAACGCAGGAAACCCAGGUUCGACCCCUGGGUUGGGAAGAUCCCCUGGAGAAGGGAAUGCUACCCACUCCAGUUUUCUUGCCUGGAGAAUUCCAUGGACAGAGGAGCCUGGCAGGCUACAGUCCUUGACGUCCCAAAGAGUUGGGAAAUGACUGAGCGACUGACACAUCCACUUUCAAAUAGACAUUGAAUACUUUAAAACAUACUUACGGAAAAUAGUCAUAUUUUAGAGUGAUGAAACACAUCUUUAUGGAAUUUCAUUGUUAAUAUGAUAGACACAUUGUUAAAUAUGAUAGCCUAGCUUUUUAGGUGAAUUUGUAAUACCCAUAAUUUUAUGUUUUUUAGUCAUAUUUGAACUAACAAAGAAAAUCCAAUAAUAUUAACAUUAUAUAGCAAAGCAUCUCCUGCAAUUUUUUCUUGCACUUAAAAUGAUUCAUGGCUGACUUUUAAAUAUGAAGUUUCUUUAGACUUUAUUAAAUAUAGCUCACUGAAAAUAGGCAGUGUGUUUUCUUUUUUAUAGUAUGUUAGCAUUUUUUGUUUUGUCCAGAUUUUCUGUUAAGUGAUAAUGACUGUCAUUUUGCUAUUUCAGUGGCUUGUUAGAAAUAGCUUUCUCAUUUACCAAACAAGUUAACAAUUUGAUAUUUUCAUUUAGUAGUAUAACCUUAAUAUAUUUCUCUUUUUUUUUCAUACAGUUAUUCAGCAAAAUCUUUGAAAAACAGCUUUGUAGCUGACUGAAUCCAAGUUGUCUGAAUAUAUAGGUCUUUACUAAAUAGGUCUUUUAACAGUGUUCCCUGUGACUUGUGGAAACUUGAAUGGGCAAUUCUCCUGAUUUUCAUUUGAAGAGCCCCAAAGCACUUAGAACAAACACUGCCUGGCUUGUAGAGUACAUCGGUGUUGGCUGCUGUUACAAUUGUUCAAAAUGGCUGAGACUUUGUGCAUGUGAAGUUGCUUCAGUCAUGUCCGACUCUGCAGCCCUACGGACUGUAGCCCGCCAGGCUCCUCUGUCCGUGGGAUUCUUCAUUACAAGAAUACUGGAGUGGGUUGCCAUUUCCUCCUCCAGGGGAUCCGCUCAACCCAGGGAAUCAAAUCUGUCUCUUACCUCUCCUGCUUUGGAAAGCAGGAUCUUUACCACUAGCGCCACCUGAGAAGCCCAGUAGAGACUCUGGGGGCAUGCAAAUCAGUGGUGUAUAUUAAUUGCAGAUAAUUAAGGGAUAAUUUAUGCAGAUUUUAUAUUACAACCCCAUAUCAGGGAGGGGAUGGAUGAAGUUACAAGUUCUUGUAGUUUUAACGCUCCAGAGUUUUCCUGCCUCUAAAGCUUACUUAGUUAUUCGAGCUGUAUUUGUAUUUCUGGGCCAGUCUUGAAACACAGAAAGUCUGAUUCGCUAGGCCAGUGGCAAGCCUGCUGGCCCACCUGACUUACCAGUCAGGAAGGGAUGGCAGUGAUCUAAGAACAGUUAGAAAGCUUCCUUUCUUUGGUUAUUCGGUUGCUAAGUUCAUGUGUGGCUCUGUGACCCCACAGACUGCAGUACACUAGGCCUCUCCGCCCUUCCCUAUCUCCCAGAGUUUGCCCAAAUUCAUGUCCGUUGAGUAGGUGAUGCUGUCUAACCAUCUCAUCCUCUGCUGCCCUCUUCUUUUGCCUUGAAUCUUUCCCAGCAUCAAAGUCUGUUCCAGUGAGUCAGCUCUUUGCAUCAGGUGGCCAAAGUAAUGGAGCUUCAUUUUCAGCAUCUUUUGUUGAUUGUCUAAAUAUGGGAAGGAAUGCAGAGACCAGUGAGAAACAAAUAGGCUAGAGUAGCUUGGGGUAAGGUCCUGUUUGCCCAUCAAUACACACAACAGUAUCUUCGAGCUAUUCAGCAGAUACUGAAACCCCUUCCAGGUGGGAGAAGUUAACAAUGGUAUGCUACCCACAAGCAUGUAGAGCCCAGGCCAGUUGGACCUGUGUCCAGAUAAUAACAAUUCAGUGGCUAAAAAGUGUUCCUGAUUUUCUUACUCAAUGAAGUAGAAACUCAAGUUUUAAGAGUAGAUAUUUUUUCAUGAGACUUGAAAAAGGCUGAUUAAGGUGAAAAAAAGAUUUACACUUUUCCCAUGAAUGUAUUCAUACUAAAAAAAGUGUUGAGAAUUCCUUGGCUGUCCAGUGGUUAAGACUGUGCUUUCACUGCUGAGGGCAAGGGUUUGAUCCCUGGUUGGACAACUAAGAUCCCACAAGCCACACCAUUCAGCCAUUCGACCAAAAAAAAAUUGUUAAUUGCAGAAAUAAACGAGUUAACUUUUUAAAAAUUGUGUCUGACUCAAUCCAUUAUACAGGGAAACCACAUUUAGAAAAAUGAUUUGAAAACAUUUCUAUUAGACCUCUGUAUAAUACUGAGAAUUUGAAAAACAUGUUUAGAGUUAUUUUAUCCCAAAUGAAGUCUGUCAAAUAAAAUUUGAGAUCUCAGAUUAUCUAUUUGAGAGAAAGAAGUGAGGUUAUUUUGUGCAUUCAUAGCAACCAGUUUAGGAAGACACAGUAGGGAUCUUGGUUUCAUUGGAAAUCAUGAAAUGCCACCAUAGCCAUAGUUACCUGUACUUCCAAAUGUAAAGCAGUAAUUUAAUUUCUCAUCAGAGCUUUAAAAAAUAGCUAGACUCUUAAGAGGAUAACGUAAAAUUUAAUUGUUACCUUGAUAUGGAAAGCUUAACUUGGAAUGCAGCAACCCCUUCAUCUGCGUUACAGCUGCACUCUUUCUUUGCCACACGCUACACACAUACAGAUCUAGGGCUCAAAGAGGUGUAAGGACAAAGUGUAAUGGUCACCAGGUUCACAGGUCAAAGCCUUGUAAUUUGAGCUGUGUGUUAAAUGCUCUUCAGAACAUGACAUUUAUACUCUGAGCAAAUAGAAUCAGUAGUGUACGUUUUAAUUAAUGGUAGAUGAAGAGUGAUUUCUAAACUAGUAUCAAUGUUCAAAGGGCCAGAGAAGGGCUUCCUUCACACCAGUAUUUUUCAUUUAACUGAUAGUAAAAGUAGGGUAUGUAGGAAUGUUUAUGGAUGAAGCAAGAAUUCUGAUUGAUGGGGGAUUCGGCUGAGAAGCUAUGGGAAUAAAGGCACUGACUAGCCUUUGGAUCUCAUGAACCUCCAGGUGUGAUUAUUUUAACUCUCCAAGGACUAAUACUGGAGUGGGUUGCCAUUUACUUCUCCAAUUAAGAGUAUGCUGCUGCUACUGCUAAGUCACUUCAGUCGUGUCCGACCCUGUGCGACCCCAUAGACGGCAGCCCACCAGGCUCCCCCAUCCCUGGGAUUCUCCAGGCAAGAACACUGGAGUGGGUUGCCAUUGCCUUCUCCAACGCGUGAAAGUGAAGUUGCUCAGUUGUGUCCCACCCUCCGCGACCCCAUGGACUGUAGCCUACCAGGCUCCUCCGUCCAUUGGAUUUUCCAGGCAAGAGUACUGGAGUGGGGUGCCAUUGGAAGUAGUAUAACCAGGUCUUGAAAACAGUCAGGACAUCUAAGUCGAGAGAGUUGAAUAAGGCUGACAUUUUGUGAUGAGUUAUUAAACCCUUUCAAGCUGUGAGUUUCUAAAUUUCUACAAAGGAAUACUUUGCUACUUUUCCCUUUGUUCCUAAAAGUUUAGAUAGCUCUGUAUUCCUUUUUGUAGCUCUAGUGGUUGGUGGUCUGGUGGAAAAAGAAAGUGAGUUAUUGACUUCUUACUCCUUGUUGGGAUUGUUGUCAGAUACCUACUUUGGCACCUUAAACAAAGCACGUCUUCUGGCUGGACGUGGUGGAGCCAAGUUGAUUUUUAACAGUCAUUUUUUUUUCCAUUGCUGAAUGAAUAGUCUUACUUUGCUUUUGUUUCUGUCUUGACUGUUUACAGUUUUAACAUUGGGAAAUGGUUUCUAAUAAUCUAAUACAGCUUACAGUCUUACACACAUAAAUAUAUGCACAUGCAUAUGUGUAUGUAUCAGACACCUUCUCAACCUUUUUUAGCAAGCCUCCUUGUAGAUUUUCUUUCCUUUCAGGAAUCAAAACCAGUCUCUCUCUUUCUGCUUUGAGUCUCACAUCUGCUUAUCAAACUUAUAGUUCCUAGGAAUUAGAUCUUUAAAGCUGGAUACAUCCUCAUCAGCUUUAACCCAGUCUUGAAAAAAAAAGACUCCUUUAAUUGCCCCAAGAAGAGGAAAUUAAUACGUGUGUGUGUGUGUGUGUGUGUGUGUGUGCGCGCGCGCGCGCAUGCGUGCUUAGUCGCUCAGUCGUGUCCAACCCUUUGGGAUCCGGUGGACUGUAGCCCAUCAGGCCCUUCUGUCCAUAGGAUUUUACUCAAUACUACAUGUAUUCUCAGAGAACAAGAGUGAACAAGAGAACUACCUUUAAUUUUUAAAGCAGUAAUAUUUCUGAUAGCUGGCUUAAGAACAAAAAGCAAUAACUUUAAAUGAUUUUUGAGUUAAUGAUUCAUCUUCUCGUUUAUUAUAACUUAAUCAGUUCAGUUCAGUCGCUCGGUUGUGUCCGACUCUGCGACCCCAUGAGCUGCAGCACGUCAGGCCUCCCUGUCCAUCACCAACUCCUGGAGUUCACUGAAACUCAAGUCCAUCGAGUUGGUGAUGCCAUCCAGCCAUCUCAUCCAUCCUCUGUCCCCUUCUCCUCCUGCCCCCAAUCCCUCCUCGCAUCAGAGUCUUUUCCAGUGAGUCAGCUCUUUGCACAAGGUGGCCAAAGUAUUGGAGUUUCCGCUUUAGCAUCAGUCCUUCCAAAGAACACCCAGGACUGAUCUCCUUUAGAAUGGACUGGUUGGAUCUCCUUGCAGUCCAAGGGACUCUCUGAGUGAGUGAGUGAGUGAAGUCGCUCAGUCGUGUCCAACUCUUUGCGGACACGACUAAAAUUAUCAGCACUGUCCACUGCUCUCUGUACCAUCAGUACUGUGGUUCACUUUGUGGAUUUUCUCCAGCUUCUUUGGAUUCGCUGGUUCCAAAUAAUGCCAAAAGUUAAUUGAGACCAAACGACUUCAGAGAGAAGACAGAGGAGUGAGAGGAAUACAGCAGUGGGCACGCAUGUGCCCCUUCUUGGCCUUCUGAUUUGUUUGGUAUUCAUUGUUCUGCCAAAAAGAAACCUUUUAUUUUUCUUCUUUGUGCAUUUUUUGAAGGCUAUUCUAUGGCUGUUCUUUAAGAUGUUGUAACUUGGGAACCACCAUUCUGAACUCUUUUUUAUCAACCUGAUAAAUUCAAAGUAAAAUACAUGAUUUCAUUGAGCCAUUGGUGCAUAGCAUGGAUUGAUAGGAAUAAGGACAGUAUGUUUGACUCAUCAUGUAUUCAGAGUUAGCAUUUGAAACCCAAGCAGUAGACCUCUUGGGGUGAUAAUAAACAUGCAAAAACCCCAGACAUGUAUGUGGUUUUAGAAUCUAGCCCAGGAAAGAGAACUUUACAGGUGCUCCUGCACACAGACUGAUGUACACCCUUUGCAUGCUGAGUCGCUUCAGUUGUCUGUGACUCUGCAACCAUGGGGACUGUAGCCCGCCAGGCUCCGCUGUCCAUGGGAUUCUCCAGGCAAGAAUACUGGAGUGGGGUGCCAUGCCCUCCUCCAGGGGAUCUUCCCCACCCAGGGAUUGAAGACGCAUCUCUUGUGUCUCCUGCGUUGGCAGGCGGGUUCUUUACCACCACCACGCCCUGGGACCCUCUUUAACAUUACAACUUAUCCUAGUAGAUGAGAAUUGGUAGUGUUUUCAGUGGUUCUUUCCACACCCCUCUGCUGUAAGCAUUUUACAAUCUGGAAUUCACUUCUGUUAAUUUUGAUUGAUUGCUGAGGACUUAGCAGCCUUCUUGCUUCUUGCUUUCUUGUAUUCUUCUGAUCUUAAAGCUUUCAUUGUUAAUUAAAAAUCUGUGAGGCCCGCAGGAGCAGGACUUGACGUAUUUUAGGGUGCCUUUUUCCUAUAACUUGCACAAUAGAAAGAACUCUUGAGUCUGGGGAAAGUUAGUGUUGUAAUCCUCAUCAGUGACAGAACUUGGUACCCUGCCCUGUAUUGGUGCUCUGAUCGAAUCUAGAGCAAGGUUAAAAAGUAUGGAAGGUGUACCAGCAUUUUCUUUCUUUCCUCAAAAGACACACAUUUUUUACAGGUACGACUAUGACAGAUACCGUUAAUCUAUCCAGGGAGUCUUUCCUGCUAAGCCAUGAGUUUUCCAGCUCUCUCAGCAGCCACUACUAGUCAUGGUUAUUAGCGUUAGAACUGAAACCACUUCGCUGUGGCACUGAAAUAUUUUAACUUUGAAAACUAUGUGCCUAACUGGAAUAGUUA
ensembl:lncRNA